GGGAGCAUAGCUCAGCUGGUUAGAGUGCCUGCUUGACAUGCAGGAGGUCGAUGGUUCGAGCCCAUUUGUUCCCACCA
rnacentral:tRNA from 1 species